UACAGAGAGUGCGAGCGUUGUUCGGAAUUACUGGGCAUAAAGCGCACGUAGGCGGACUCGUAAGUCGGUAGUGAAAUCCCCCGGCUCAACCGGGGAACGGCUUCCGAUACUGCGAGCCUUGAGGACGGGAGGGGAGAGUGGAACUUCCAGUGGAGCGGUGAAAUGCGUAGAUAUUGGAAGGAACACCGGUGGCGAAAGCGACUCUCUGGUCCGUCUCUGACGCUGAGGUGCGAAAGCUAGGGUAGCAAACGGG
rnacentral:rRNA from 1 species